UACAGAGGUCCCCAACGACGUUGUUCGGUAGUUCUACUGGGCGGUAAAGAAGUGCGUAGGUUGUCGUAGUUAGUCUUCUGUUUAAUUACCUUCGGUCUCAACCGGAGAACUGCAGAGGAAACGGACUAUGCUUGAGCAUGUAAGAGGUCUGCAGAACUCAUGGUGUAGGGUGAAAUCCGUUGAUAUCAUGGGGAAUACCCAAAUGCGAAGGCAGCAGACUGGUGCAUUGCUGACACUGAGGCACGAAAGCGUAGGUAGCGAAUGGGA
rnacentral:rRNA from 1 species